rnacentral:rRNA from 1 species
UACGAAGGGGGCUAGCGUUACUCGGAUUGACUGGGCGUAAAGCGCGUGUAGGCGGUUCGGUAAGUCUGCUGUGAAAGUCGGGGGGCUCAACCCUCGAAUGCCGGUGGAUACUGUCGGACUAGAGUGCGGAAGAGGCGAGUGGAAUUCCUGGUGUAGCGGUGAAAUGCGCAGAUAUCAGGAGGAACACCAAUUGCGAAGGCAGCUCGCUGGGACGUUACUGACGCUGAGACGCGAAAGCCAGGGGAUCAAAACGGG